CCACCUCACCAGAGCCCUUCCUCAAGACCAGCUCCUCUAACAACGCACGCUGGCACGCUCAUCCAUCACCUCCAGGCACACCAGGGACCACAGAGAUCCUGGAGAAGCUCAGGAGAGCGUGUUCAAAGUGGGAAAAAUAAAAGUUGCUAUCACAGCACUCGUGGCCACGGACAUGUUUUGGAGGGUGAUGGCUCAUUGUCCUGCACGAGGGGGGGAAGAAUAAAACUUCCAAACACACUUGUGAUGCUGCACAGGAGGAACCUUUCCUGCACAACCCGAUCCUGGCACACAGAACUGGAAACAAACCCCUCAGCACGAUGACUCCAGAUCUGCACGAGCCACUCAGCUGAGCCUCGUGUUCAUCAACGUCACAAUCAGUCCUGGAAAUUUCGUUAGUGACAUGAGAAUUGCCACUGUCAGCAAAGCCCUCCAGGACCUCACCAGGGCUCCCCGGUGUGCCAGCAACGCCGGUGCCAGGCUAAUUUCUUAAGACAGCCUGUAAAGAAGCCCUCCUGCCUGCCCCGCUCUGGGGUUUGACUGGUGGCACAGCCAUCCUUCCCUCAGAGCCACAGAGAAAGCAAAACAGUAACAGCCGGAGAGUUUAUUCCUUCAGGAACUGCUCAGAGAUUUCCUGGAAGCUGCAACACCACCAGCCAUCCCUGGAAGGCUUCCAGGACGGGAUGAAGGCAAACCAAGCCAGACACUCUCGCGGCAGGUUAGGAUGAAUCCAGACCCGAUUCUGAGCCCUGUGCUGCCUGCAGGAGCAUCUCCCAUCCGCAGAACCACCACGGCUUUCCCGACAAGAGCAACACGACAUCAAGGUUUUUCCACUGUGCCUAAUAAUCGUAACAUCUCACUCGCCAUUUGGCUCGUCAGUGGGGGUUCCUGA